AUUAAGUCUUCAGUAAAAGGCUUGAAGGAAGGCGAAUUUCUGUGGAGUUUGAGUUCUGUGGAAAUCUAUUUAUUUUCCUGGGCAAGGAAGUCCUAUGAGUGUCAUCUGAUGAAGAUAAUUCAAGGCUACGUACAAGAUCUGGUUGAUUUGUAGUUCAGCAAUGUUGUUGGAACCCCCCUGCCAUAUCAGGAGCUGUUACAGAAGGCUGAGGCAGUGGCCAUACACCAGUCCUGCUUGAGAGUAAUGGAGGACACUUGAAUCAGGUUGGUCACAUUUGAUCUGGUCAAUGGUCAAAAUACUAUCUGUCCUGGAAUUCACCUAACCACCAUUGAUAAUGUAAUCAGUGCUCUGUGUAUAUGUGUGUCUUGUACUGUACGUUGUAAGAAAG
ensembl:lncRNA